rnacentral:antisense_RNA from 1 species
UUCAAUGGCGGGCGGUGUGUGGGGAUCGCAAGAUCCGCCAGGCCUUUUCUCCCAGUGAGCUUUUCUGCCUUGGCACGCCAACCCGCACCGUCCGCCACCUUC